GGAAGUAAAAAGUCGUAACAAGGUUUCCGUAGGUGAACCUGCGGAAGGAUCAUUACAAAAUGUUAUGGGAUGUCCUAACGGGCACCCAAGCAAACACAUCCAUAUUAAACCUUUGAAACAAUUACUAGUCUGAUAAGGCCAUGUGCUGUAAAAAUUUAAAUAUAUUAAAACUUUCAACAACGGAUCUCUUGGCUCUC
rnacentral:misc_RNA from 1 species